rnacentral:rRNA from 1 species
GAUGAACGCUGGCGGUAUGCUUAACACAUGCAAGUCGAACGAAAGUCUUCGGGCUUUAGUGGCGGACGGGUGAGUAACGCGUGAGAAUCUGCCUAUAGGUUGGGGACAACAGUUGGAAACGGCUGCUAAUACCCAAUGUGCCGAGAGGUGAAAGCUUUAGUGCCUGUAGAUGAGCUCGCGUCCGAUUAGCUAGUUGGUUAGGUAAUGGCUGACCAAGGCGACGAUCGGUAGCUGGUCUGAGAGGAUGAUCAGCCACACUGGGACUGAGACACGGCCCAGACUCCUACGGGAGGCAGCAGUGGGGAAUUUUCCGCAAUGGGCGAAAGCCUGACGGAGCAAUACCGCGUGCGGGACGAAGGCUUUUGGGUCGUAAACCGCUUUUGUUAGGGAAGAAGAACUGACGGUACCUAACGAAUCAGCAUCGGCUAACUCCGUGCCAGCAGCCGCGGUAAUACGGGGGAUGCAAGCGUUAUCCGGAAUUAUUGGGCGUAAAGCGUCUGCAGGUGGUCUAUCAAGUCUGCUGUCAAAGCAUGGGGCUUAACCCCAUAUCGGCGGUGGAAACUGGGAGACUAGAGUACGGUAGGGGUAGCGGGAAUUCCCAGUGUAGCGGUGAAAUGCGUAGAUAUUGGGAAGAACACCAGCGGCGAAAGCGCGCUACUAGGCCGAAACUGACACUCAUGGACGAAAGCUAGGGGAGCGAAAGGGAUUAGAUACCCCUGUAGUCCUAGCUGUAAACGAUGACAACUAGGUGUUG